CCAAUAGGAGACUCCACUGUUACAGCCCGGCCUCCGAGCUCUGUCAUGGCGGCGUCCAGUUUUCGGGCUAGUGUGAAGGAACGGAAUGUUAGGGUUUUUAUUAGCGAGACAGGCGGGUUUGGACGACCCUCUUCGCCUCCAGAGAGCGGAGUCCACACGGAGGGUUUUGGGACUGGAGUUAAACAAAGACAGAGAUGUUGAAAGAAUCCAUGGCAGUGGAGUUAACACCCUUGACAUUGAACCUGUUGAAGCAAGAUACAUGUUAUCAGGUGGUUCAGAUGGUGUGAUUGUACUUUAUGAUCUUGAGAACUCCAGCAGACAACCUUAUUACACAUGUAAAGCAGUGUGUUCCGUUGGCAGAAACCAUCCUGAUGUUCACAAAUACAGUGUGGAGACUGUACAGUGGUAUCCUCAUGACACCGGCAUGUUUACAUCAAGCUCCUUUGAUAAAACUCUGAAAGUGUGGGAUACAAAUACAUUACAAACUGCAGAUAUAUUUAAUUUUGAAGAAACCGUUUAUAGUCAUCAUAUGUCUCCAGUUGCCACCAAACACUGUUUGGUAGCAGUUGGUACUAGAGGGCCCAAAGUACAACUUUGUGACUUAAAGUCUGGAUCCUGUUCCCACAUUUUACAGGGUCACAGACAAGAAAUAUUGGCAGUUUCCUGGUCGCCUCGUUGUGAAUAUGUCUUGGCAACUGCAAGUGCUGACAGUAGAGUAAAAUUAUGGGAUGUGAGAAGAGCAUCAGGAUGUUUAAUUACUCUUGAUCAGCAUAAUGGCAAAAAGUCACAGGCUGUUGAAUCAGCAAACACUGCUCAUAAUGGGAAAGUUAAUGGCUUAUGUUUUACAAGUGAUGGGCUUCAUCUCCUUACUGUUGGUACAGAUAAUCGAAUGAGGCUCUGGAAUAGUUCCAAUGGAGAAAACACACUAGUAAACUAUGGAAAAGUUAAUAAUGACAGCAGAAAAGGAUUGAAAUUCACUGUCUCCUGUGGCUGCAGUUCAGAAUUUGUUUUUGUACCAUAUGGUAGCACUAUUGCUGUUUAUACAAUUUACUCAGGAGAACAGAUAACUAUGCUUAAGGGACAUUAUAAAAGUGUUGACUGCUGUGUAUUCCACUCUAAUUUCCAGGAACUUUAUAGCGGUAGCAGAGACUGCAAUAUACUUGCUUGGGUACCAUCCUUAUAUGAACCAGUUCCUGAUGAUGAUGAGCCUACAACCAAAUCACAGAUAAAUCCAGCAUUUGAAGAUGCAUGGAGCAGCAGUGAUGAGGAAGGAUGAUUGUCAAUCCUGAGUACCUUUGUGUCUCUUUUGAUGAAACUUUUAAAAUGGAACUGUUUUUUUGUUGUUACUGUUUUCUUCCUAUGUGAUGACAGCUAAAGUACCCCUUAAUUUGGUGUUUUUUUUCACCUGUGUUUUAAAAUGAAGGUAGUAUUUGUAUGAAAUCCUGAAGCAGACUUUUAUAUAGUUUAUUUAAUCAAAGAUGUCUCCUUGAUCCCAGUUGCUGUUGCCUGGGACACCCCCUGUUGUUAUAGUAAUCUCUCUAUACUGAACCUUCUCUUUUGAGACAGGUCCUGACAACACCCUCCCUCCCCCUCCCCACCCCCCCAGUGGGACCUUGAACACAUUGUUUGAACUGUUAGAUGCAGUCUCAGGAUGAGCAAGUAAAGGUUAUCAGCACUGACUUUCUACUACUGGCUGUACCAUCACCUUGUUCAUUUUCACUUUCAGUGAUGCUUUUACUGAGGACAGUCUUAUCAAAAAUGAUAGUUGAAAAGUU